rnacentral:rRNA from 1 species
CAGCCGCCGCGGGAAUACGGAGGGUGCAAGCGUUAAUCUGAAUUACUGGGCGUAAAGCGCACGCAGGCGGUUUGUUAAGUCAGAUGUGAAAUCCCCGAGCUUAACUUGGGAACUGCAUUUGAAACUGGCAAGCUAGAGUCUUGUAGAGGGGGGUAGAAUUCCAGGUGUAGCGGUGAAAUGCGUAGAGAUCUGGAGGAAUACCGGUGGCGAAGGCGGCCCCCUGGACAAAGACUGACGCUCAGGUGCGAAAGCGUGGGGAGCAAACAGGAUUAGAUACCCGGGUAGUCCCUGUCUCUUAUAC